UUUGUCGCAACUCGUGUUGUGCACUCCUAUCAAAACCCCAAAUAUCACAUCUUCUCUUAGAUGCUCAUCUAGAUGAACCAUUAGAAUUCCUUUUACCCGAUUCAGUAACCAAAAAAUGAGGCAGUUCAACCAAAGUCUCCUCAACUACUUUGGCUUUCUCAACCAACUCAUCAAACAUCUCUGUAUUUUGAGCUACCAAGUAAACCUGAAUGUCACGAUUAAGGCAGAAAUAAAAC
rnacentral:lncRNA from 1 species